UACAGAGGUCUCAAGCGUUGUUCGGAUUCAGUUGGGCGUAAAGGGUGUGUAGGUGGCGCCGUAAAGUCGGGUGUGAAAUUUCCGGAGCUUAACUACCGAAACUGCAUUCGAUACUGCGGUGCGUUGAGGACUGGGAGAGGAGACUGGAAAUUCAUGGUGUAGCAGUGAAAUGCGUAGAGAUCAUGAGGAGACCAGUGGCGA
rnacentral:rRNA from 1 species